rnacentral:rRNA from 1 species
GCGCACCAGUCGCGAAACCUUCGCAAUGCAGGAAACUGCGACGAGGGAACUCCAAGUGCCUACGCUCAGCGUAGGCUGUUCUCAAGCCUAGAAAGCUUGAGGAGUAAGGGCUGGGUAAGACGGGUGCCAUCUGUGGUAGCAGUCAAUAGAUUCGAUUUGUUACUGCAAGGCAUAAGCCGCCGCGGUAAUACCCGCAGCCCAAGUGGUGGCCGCUUUUAUUGGGCCUAAAGCGUCCGUAGCCGGCCCGGUAAAUGCCUGGGUAAAUCGUGGAGCCCAACUUCACGAAUUCCGGGUAGACUGCCGAGCUCGGGACCGGAAGAGGGAGAGGGUACUUCAGGGGUAGGGGUGAAAAUUUCCUUUCCAUUAACGCUUUGCGCGAAGCGGAAA